rnacentral:rRNA from 1 species
UACGUAGGGGGCAAGCGUUGUCCGGAAUCAUUGGGCGUAAAGCGCGUGUAGGCGGCUCGGUAAGUCUGCUCUGAAAGUCCAAGGCUCAACCUUGGGAUGCGGGUGGAUACUGCCGGGCUCGAGUCCGGAAGAGGCGAGUGGAAUUCCUGGUGUAGCGGUGAAAUGCGCAGAUAUCAGGAGGAACACCAAUGGCGAAGGCAGCUCGCUGGGACGUUACUGACACUAAGGCGCGAAAGCGUGGGGAGCAAACAGG